CUUAAGCAUGCAAGUCGAGCGGGCUUAUUCGGGCAACUGGAUAAGUUAGCGGCGAACUGGUGAGUAACACGUAGGUAAUCUGCCGUAGAGUGGGGGAUAACCCAUGGAAACAUGGACUAAUACCGCAUAUACUCUUGACGCUAAAGCGUAGUAGAGGAAAGGAGCAAUCCGCUUUACGAUGAGCCUGCGGCCUAUUAGCCUGU
rnacentral:rRNA from 1 species